rnacentral:lncRNA from 1 species
AUGCUCCGCCUGUGCCUCUUGGCUGUGUCUCGCGGGCGGCCCUCCCCACGGUGGGGCGGGCCGUGUUGCCGCCGCGCCGCGCGCCUUCUUGGACGCGUGAGCGCGCUCCCCCGGCCGUUGGCGGUGCCCCUGGAGUGUUCCAGGUCGUCCCUCAGGCGCCUGAGGCCGAUUGGCGGUGUCGUUCCCUGUUCCCGUCGCCCUCCUCAGGUGACCGCUGCGCUGGUAAGCGCCUUGGUGGGCCCGAUGGCGGACGAUGGGCGGGGGCGACACGCCCUCGGUGAGAAAGCCUUCUCUAGCGAUCCGAGAGGGUGCCUUGGGGUACCGGACCCCCCAGCCGCCGCCCCUCCUCUGCGCGUAGUAGCCACGGACGCACCACCGUGGCGCGUGGGCAGAGCCGCUCUUUGCCUACCGCGGCCGGCGCCUCCCCCCUCCAGUCGGGGGAGGGUCACGCCCGGCCGGGCCGUCGUUGGGCGCGGGGCCGCGCGUGUGCGCGAGCGUGCGCGUGGUUUCUCCCGUCGCGUGCUGGGGUGGGGAGAGGGCCCGGCCCUGUCCGGGCUCCGCCCCGCCGCGAGCGGCUGGCUCUCCGCUCGCUCCCGUCCCGAGCCGCAGCCGCUCUCGGGCGCGUUCCCUCGGGACGUGGGUCCCGGAGCAGACCAGACAGGCAGACGGGUGGCUGGGUGGACGGGGCGGCCCCCGGCGGCGGGGGCGCCUCACGUAGGCCCCGGCGGUGGGGCCGGGCCCGCGGGAGCCGAAGGUGGCUGAGGCCGGCCGGCGUCCCAGGCGUCGUGGGACCGCCCUCGCGUGUCGUUGGCGGUGGGAUCCCGCGUGUGUUUUCCUGGUGGCCCGUCCGCGCCGAGGCCGUCCCCGGGAGCCUUCCGCGAGCCCGCGCUCCCUCCGUCGAGGCGCGCGCCGCGCUCCCGUUGCCGCCGGUGCUCCCCGCCCGGGCAGACGCCUGGCCGCGCCGCCCACCGGCCGGGACCGAAAUGGGCCUCGCCGCGCGGGUGUCGCCUCCGGCCACCGAGGCCGGUGGUGGCCCGGGCGAAGUGCCUCGGCUCCGGUUGGGUGGCGCCCGUGCGCCAGGCGCCCGGCGUGGGACGCCGGCGCCGUGUGCGGGAGAGCCCUGGCCGUGGAGGUGGGUGGUGGGGCCGAGCCCCCGUGAGCUGCGCGCGGGGCGACGGGGCCAGUCGCCGUUCCGGGCGCUGCGGGACCGCCCCUGGUGCUGGAGGCCCCUGGCGGUGAGACCCGUGUGUGCUCCGGCGGCCGACUUGCCUCGGAGGCUCUGUCUUCCCUCCUUCGCCCCGAGCGCGUCUCUCGGCGGGCCGCGGCCCUUCCUCCACCGCCACCGCCUCUCCGGCGCCUCGGCCCUCGCCGCCGUCGGCCUUCUCCCGAGCCCUUCCCCGUCGUCGCCUGUUCUGGCUGCCCGACCGGGGCCCCGCCCCGAGCGCGACUCGCUUCCGGGGCCGCUGCGGCCUCCUCCGUGUCCGCCGCCGCUGCCCGCGCGACGGCGACGUUGCGUGCGGGCGGGGGACCGUCCCCCGCGGCGCCCCGUUCUGGCGCGCGCGUGUCUGUCGCAGCGCGGGUCGGGUCCCGGGCAGCCGUCGUGACCGGCCGCCGCGCGCCGCGCCACCCCUGGGGGCGGGGGUCGGGCCUCGGUCCGGCUCUCGGCCCGCGGGGGCGUGCGCGGGCAGUCCGGCGGCGGUGUCGACGCGACUGCCUGGUGCCCCGGCCCCGCUCACGCGCCGUCAAUCGGGGCCGCCGCGAG